rnacentral:rRNA from 1 species
UUGCGGAAAACUGGUCCGUCUAUCGGGCGGUAUUUAGAUUUUGCGUUUCAUCUUCUUGAAAAGCUUUGCUGUGCUUGAUUGCAUGGUGUGGGAAUCAGGACAUUUACUUUGAGGAAUUUAGAGUGUUUCAAGCAGGUUUGUGCUGAAAUAGCCUAGCAUGGAAUAAUAACAUGGGGUCUUGGUCUUGUUUGUUGGUUUCUAGGCUGAGGAAACAAUCAAUAGGGAUAGCUGGGGGCAUUUGUACUUAACUGUCAGAGGUGAAAUUCUUGGAUUUGUUAAAGACAAACUACUGCGAAAGCAUUUGUCAAGGAUGUUUUCAUUGAUCAAGAACGAAAGUUAAGGGAUCGAAGACGAUCAGAUACCGUCCUAGUCUUAACCAUAAACAAUGCCAUCUAGAGAUUGGAGGUAGUGCCAAGGAUUACUUCUUCAGCAUCAUUUGAGAAAUCAAAGCUUUUGGGUUCCGGGGGGAGUAUGGUCGCAAAGGCAUGAAACUUAAAGGAAGUUGACGGAAGGGCACCACCACGGAGUGGAGCCUGCGGCUUCAUUUGACUCAACACGGGAAAACUCACCAGAACCAGACAUACACAGGAUUGACAGAUUGAUAGCUCUUUCUUGAUUUUAUGGGUGGUGGUGCAUGGCCGUUCUUAGUUGGUGGAGUGAUCUGUCUGGUUAAUUCCGUUAACGAACGAGACCUUGUCUUACUAAAUAGUUACAUGUAACUUUGGUUACAUGGGCAGCUUC